rnacentral:rRNA from 1 species
UUUUGGACAAUGGGCGCAAGCCUGAUCCAGCCAUUCCGCGUGAGUGAAGAAGGCCUUCGGGUUGUAAAGCUCUUUCGCACCCCCCCCAAAGAUUACUCUCUAAUAUAGAGUGAUUAUGACGGUACCUUGAUAAGAAGCACCGGCUAACUACGUGCCAGCAGCCGCGGUAAUACGUAGGGUGCGAGCGUUAAUCGGAAUUACUGGGCGUAAAGCGUGCGCAGGCGGUUUUGUAAGUCAGAUGUGAAAUCCCCGAGCUCAACUUGGGAACUGCGUUUGAAACUACAAGACUAGAAUAGGUCAGAGGGGGGUAGAAUUCCACGUGUAGCAGUGAAAUGCGUAGAGAUGUGGAGGAAUAUCAAUGGCGAAGGCAGCCCCCUGGGAGACAUAUUGACGCUCAUGCACGAGG